GCCUGUUUCCAUACUGUAAGUAAUCUAAUCUAAUCUAAUCUAAAAACUGGUGGGUCCAGUAGCAAAGAUGGAGUGAGUGUGAGGUAUCAACAAGAAUACGGUGGAACUUUGACUGGAAGAACGGAAAAGGUCAUUGACCUUCUUCGUACAUUCUGUGAAUUCUUUCAGAGGUUGAGACUGCACUGACCUGGAUGGUAACCAUGGUACAGGUUGGUGUGGUUCCAGUAGAUUAGCUUCCUCUGUUAGUCUGUGAGAAAAGGACAUCCUGCCUUUGCAGCACCCCAUCCCCAUCAGCAGUAUCUCCAUGUCCCUGCCCACAAAGACAGGAUCCAAUUUUCCAUUGUCAGCCAUGUCCAGGGCUAAUGUCAGGAACCGUGCAGGGCAGCUCUGGAUGGUCAACUUGUGUCUGGGUGCACAAUAUCCUUUUAAAGAUGAUGCUGCAUCACUGAUGUUGGUCAAUUCUGGGAUAUCCAGGAAGUGGUGAGUUGAUUUGGAAGGGGCACAUAGUAUGAUGAUGCUAGAAUGUGUGGUGUGGGGGCGGGGGGGGGGGGGAUCAAAGGGUGGGUUGGUAAUAAAUCAGGCAGGUUUUUUAAAACAAGAUGAUACGCAUCCCCAAACAUCAUGACGUGAAGCCCUCGAAAAACUUGACAAAACUGACACUUAGCGAAAGAAAUUAAGAUUCAGCCCUUGAUCUACCAAGGCAGGUUUCAUUCUCGGAUCUGAUUUGUGCAGUGUUACCAAUGAGAUCAGAAGACUGGCAAGAAUUUAAUGCAGCUAGCAGGUAUAGAAGCCAAUCAAGAGUAAUUUAUUGAAGAUUUGAUGAAUUGCACUUUACAGUACCACACAGCAGGGCAGUUACAACAGUUUAAAUUUACUUAGACUGUGCUCUUGUUUGUGUUAUUUUUGUUUCGAUUUCUACUGGUAUUUUUGGUGGUUCGCUCCAACCCUGUUUUUCCCAUAGGCCCCAUUAUUUC